AGAGUUUGAUCCUGGCUCAGGAUGAACGCUAGCGGGAGGCUUAACACAUGCAAGUCGAGGGGCAGCACGAGGUAGCAAUACUUUGGUGGCGACCGGCGCACGGGUGAGUAACGCGUAUGCAACCUACCCUGUACUGGGGGAUAGCCCGGAGAAAUUCGGAUUAAUACCCCAUAAUUAUAUUGAGAGGCAUCUUUUAAUAUUUAAAGUUUCGACGGUACGGGAUGGGCAUGCGUGACAUUAGCUAGUUGGUAGGGUAACGGCCUACCAAGGCUACGAUGUCUAGGGGUCCUGAGAGGGUGAUCCCCCACACUGGUACUGAGACACGGACCAGACUCCUACGGGAGGCAGCAGUGAGGAAUAUUGGUCAAUGGGCGCAAGCCUGAACCAGCCAUCCCGCGUGCAGGAAGAAGGCGCUAUGCGUCGUAAACUGCUUUUCCAGGGGAAGAAAACCUGAUACGUGUAUCGGCUUGCCGGUACCCUGGGAAUAAGCAUCGGCUAACUCCGUGCCAGCAGCCGCGGUAAUACGGAGGAUGCGAGCGUUAUCCGGAUUUAUUGGGUUUAAAGGGUGCGUAGGCGGAUUAAUAAGUCAGUGGUGAAAACCUUCAGCUUAACUGGAGACUUGCCAUUGAUACUGUUAGUCUUGAGUACGGUCAAGGUAGGCGGAAUGUGUAAUGUAGCGGUGAAAUGCUUAGAUAUUACACAGAACACCGAUUGCGAAGGCAGCUUACUGGGCCAUUACUGACGCUGAUGCACGAAAGCGUGGGGAGCGAACAGGAUUAGAUACCCUGGUAGUCCACGCCGUAAACGAUGAUCACUCGCUGUUGGCGAUACACAGUCAGCGGCUAAGCAAAAGCAUUAAGUGAUCCACCUAGGGAGUACGGCCGCAAGGCUGAAACUCAAAUGAAUUGACGG
rnacentral:rRNA from 1 species